rnacentral:lncRNA from 1 species
GUGAAGCCGGAGGUUGCUAAGUGGAAGUGCAGGUGCUGCUGCUUCUUGCACAAACUGCAGUUGUAAUCCAGGAUUCACGGGCCUGUAGGGGCUCAGACUUCAAAUUGAACCGCGCCUCGGCGGCAGCCACAGGUGUAAUACACGAGGCCCAGGUACCAGAAGGUGUCCAGCAGGGCCUUGGCGGCGCCCUAGCAGCUGAGGUCCAGCCGCUGCGCGCCCAGGUUCAUCUCAUUAGUGGACGCCGCGGGCCCGCGAGUUCGGAGCAGCGCGUGUAUCUGUGGGUCUUUGGGGCUGGCCUCGCUAGCCUACCAGCUUCCUUUCGGUGAUGCUCUUUGCUACCGCCAGGCUCCUGACCCCAGCUUGGACAGCAGGCCGCCGAGCGCCCCUGACGCCCGUUACCGAGAUGGCUGCGCAGAAGGAGUGGCUGUGGGGCUGUGAUCUCUCCUAGAACCUCAGAGGCAUGAAGCUAGAAUAUCUUCCCCUUCAAGGAGAAUAAGCCAAGAACACAAGAAGAUCAGAGGCUGUAAGGAGCUGCUAUAAGGCCUUCUCCCAGUCACUUCCCUCUCUCUCCUGAGAGGCUGUCUUGAAUGAAUUUCUCAUCACUUACCAGAUUCUGAUGAGGGUAUAUGAGACAAGGACCUGGGGAGUUGGCCUCUUUGGUUCAUUCUUUGUACUGUUUAUCUAUGGUUGUUGCGGCCUUUGUUGAUGACAUUCAGCAUUGACUUCUUGGGUAAGGUAUUCAGUAGUUAAGAUUCAAUGACUCCAGUGAAAGGUAUGUUUCCAUCGUGAUGUUCUUCUUCUGGACAAUAAGUGAAAAGAGCAUGUGAGUACCUCUCUCACUCCCAGCAAAUAAUUGUUGUGUCACCUCCACAUGUUUCUUCACGAUUCGAGGCUUUGAUUUCCCCUGCAAGACAAAAUGCAAUGAAGUGAUACAGAAAAAAAGAAAUUCUAUGCUGUCAUCACACUAGACCAUGAUGUUGAUUUAUGGAUGGUCUGCUUUCUUAUAUGCACUUAAUAUUUUUGUACAAGCAAACCUGAAAAGUGUCAAAAUCCCCUUUAACAGAUUAACAGGCUGAGAUGGGUUAAAGUGAGCAAGCCGGGAAGUGGUGGAGCUGGGAUCCACACCCUGGUCUGUCUGAGUCCAGAUGUAAUCAUCUUGCAUUCACUAUGGCAUGUUUCCCUUAUGUUAAGGGUUGCUGACAUAGACAGUGCAUGUCAUUCCUUUUGGUAUGGUCUUCCUCCUUUCUAGCUUUUUUCUGCCUGGAAGAUCCAGGCACCCAAGAGAAUGGAGCUUCCAUGUAAAUUUGCAGAAUCCCUAGGAUGAAAGCGGAGAGGAUCUACCCUGAAACCAACAAGUCUAGGAUGCACAUCUCUGCCUUUUUUUCAGAAUUAGGAAGGGGCAGGCAGAUGGGCAAUUGACAGGAAUAGUAGAAGCAUCCUCGGGGAAGUUGGCUACUUUACUUAGUGAGAAAGCAAUGGAAAGUGACAUUUGUAACUGAGUUUUAAGUGAAGUACAGUCCUAAGAGAGGAGCUCUGAAAAACAGCUGUUACCUGAGAUUGGGAAUGUUAAAGACCUUCUCAGAGCCUGACUGUACUCACAGCUGGACCUAGCUAUCAGAAGAGGGACUGCAACAUACCUGAGAAACUUUCAGAAUACUUAACGGAAGCAGAGUCAGGGGAAGUGAUUUUGAUAGUAGUCCAUGAGAAAAAAAUACGGUGUUUUAAAAUGCAAAUGAACUAAAAUUUAAAUCCUGCUCUCUCAGUAGCUAUGCAGCCUUAGGCGAGUUAAUAUCUUUGACCUUAGUAUUUCUCAGGUGUAAAGAGGGAUAAUUACCUACUCAGAACUUCACCUCUCCCAAGAAAGCUUUCCUGACCAUGUGCUGGCCCUUCCUUUACAUUGGGAUUAAAGUACCCCCCCCCGUUUUUCCAGGCUUUCUUGACUUUAAUUCUGUCAUAGCUCUAAUUAAGAACCUCUGUAAUGAUCUGUCUGCAAGCUUGUGAGAAAUUUGAGGACUGGGAACCAGCCUGAAACAUGUCUGUUCCCCUCUGAGUCAACACAGUGCCUGGGAUCUGGUGUCCAGUAGGGAUUUAAAGCAUAUUGAUUGAAUGAGAAAUGAUGACAGGAUCUACAUGGAUCACAAAGGAUAGUUGUUAUUUUACCUGUUAACUAUUUAAUAGCGAAAUUAAAUGAAAUAUGAAUUAACCUAGGACCAGGGAAGGUGGGGUAAGUUGUGUCUUUCACAUCAACCUUCAUAUGUUCCCCAAUUUUUUCUUCCUUCAUGUACCUAGGACACUCUUGUUCAAACACAAAGGUGGUUUUAUUUUGGGUCUAUACUAGCUAGUUCCCUAGAAAGGUCUUAAAUACAAAAUGAAUGGAAUACAAAAUAACCUCCCUCAUUGUUUUUUUUCCCGGACAAAUGACAGGAUGCAUACAGAACUGCUACUUUUGUGAUGUUGCAAGUAAUGGUAUAGAUGUGCACAAAUCAUGGAUGUGGUCCCAGUGAUCCAUGGAAAUGUGAAGUCCAGGUCUCUGAGAGGUUUCUGUUGGAUCACCGAAU